AUUGAACGCUGGCGGCAUGCCUUACACAUGCAAGUCGAACGGUAACGGGCCUUCGGGUGCCGACGAGUGGCGAACGGGUGAGUAAUGCAUCGGAACGUACCUUUCAGUGGGGGAUAACGUAGCGAAAGUUACGCUAAUACCGCAUAUUCUGUGAGCAGGAAAGCAGGGGAUCGCAAGACCUUGCGCUGAUUGAGCGGCCGAUAUCAGAUUAGCUAGUUGGUGAGGUAAAGGCUCACCAAGGCGACGAUCUGUAGCGGGUCUGAGAGGAUGAUCCGCCACACUGGAACUGAGACACGGUCCAGACUCCUAUGGGAGGCAGCAGUGGGGAAUUUUGGACAAUGGGCGCAAGCCUGAUCCAGCCAUGCCGCGUGAGUGAAGAAGGCCUCGGUU
rnacentral:rRNA from 1 species